rnacentral:pre_miRNA from 1 species
UAACGCAGGUCCAUUCCAGGUACUAGGUGACUCUGAGUGGUGCAAUAUCUCAGAGCUGCCUGGUGCCUGAACAUGGAUCUCGAUA